rnacentral:rRNA from 1 species
GACGAACGCUGGCGGCGUGCUUAACACAUGCAAGUCGAACGGAAAGGCCUCUUUCGGGGGGUACUCGAGUUGCGAACGGGUGAGUAACACGUGAGUAACCUGCCCUUGACUUUGGGAUAACUUCAGUAAACUGGGGCUAAUACCGGAUAGGAGCUCCUGCUGCAUGGUGGGGUUUGGAAAGUUUCGGCGGUUGGGGGUGGACUCGCGGCUUAUCGGCUUGUUGUUGGCGUAGUGGUUUACCAAGGCCUUAACGGGAAGCCGGCCUGAGAGGGUGAGCGGCGACAUUGGGACUGAGGGACGGCCCAGAUUCCGACGGGAGGGAGAAGGGGGGAAGAUUGCACAAGGGGUGGCAGCCUGAUGCAGCAACGCCGUGUGCGGGAUGACGGCCUUCGGGUUGUAAACCGAUUUCGCUCAUGACGAAGCUUUGUGUGACGGUAGUGGGUAAAGAAGCACCGGCUAACUACGUG